GCCGCCAUGGUGAAAUUUGUAUAAACGUAUAAACGCUGCUCUUAGGAAGCAGUGCUAGAGCCUCUCGGUUCGAAUCUUAGUGGCGGCA
rnacentral:tRNA from 1 species